GCUGGGUGUGGUGGUGCACACCUGUAGUCCCAGCUACUUGGGAGGCUGAGGCAGGAGAAUCAAUUGAACUCAGGAGGUGGAGGUUGCAGUGAGCAGAGAUCACACUACUGCACUCUAGGCUGGGUGACAGAGGGAGACUCUGUCUUUAAAAAAAAAAAAAUUAACCAGCUUUGUUGGUGUGUGCUUGUAGUCCCAGCUACUCACAGGCUGAUGUGGGAGGAUUGCCUGAGCCCAGGAGGUCAAGUCUGCAGUGAGUCAUGAUUGCGCCACUGCACUCCAGCCUGGGUGACCGAGUGAGACCCUGUCUCAA
rnacentral:SRP_RNA from 1 species